rnacentral:rRNA from 1 species
UACGUAGGCAGCGAGCGUUGUUCGGAGUUACUGGGCGUAAAGGGUGUGUAGGCGGUUUUCUAAGUUUGGUGUGAAAUCUCCCGGCUCAACCGGGAGGGUGCGCCGAAAACUGGGAGACUAGAGUGCGGGAUGGGAGAGUAGAAUUCCUGGUGUAGCGGUGAAAUGCGUAGAUAUCAGGAGGAAUACGGGUGGUGUAGACGGCUCUCUGGACCGCCACUGACGCUGAGACACGAAAGCGUGGGUAGCAAACAGG